UACGUAGGUGGCAAGCGUUGUCCGGAUUUACUGGGCGUAAAGGGCGUGCAGGCGGUUUGUUUAGUCUAGGGUGAAAGCUCCCGGCUUAACUGGGAGAGGUCCUUGGAUACCGGCAAACUUGAGGGAGGCAGAGGAAAGUGGAAUUCCCGGUGUAGUGGUGAUAUGCGUAGAUAUCGGGAGGAACACCAAGUGGCGGAAGGGCG
rnacentral:rRNA from 1 species